GUCAAAGUGUUUUUCUUAAAUGCCAUAAAAUUGUAUGACUAUAAGCCAAAUAAGAAUAUUCUCUUUUUUCACUUUUAAGGGCACUGUAUAGACCAUUUUUGAAACUAUCCCACAGAAUGGUAUAAUUUCAGUUUAAAAGCUCUUACACACAUACACACACACAAAUAUAAAUAUAUAUAUAUACACAUUCAAGGGAAAGCAAACAGUGUAUGUAGUAUUUCUAAGUGACAUGCUACACGUUAUAAGAAUCUAUUUUUGAAAUCUUAUACAGAUUAUGCAGAAGUCAGAAUAACAAAUACAACACCUCAAUUUUUUUAUAGAGUCUAGCGUUAGUUUACUAUAAGAUUUGCUUACAUCAUACUUGCAAAGAUCAUUCACAUAAUUUAUUUAGCAUUGAAAAUCUUUAUAUGAAGUACUAAUGUCAUCUGAAGUUUAGAGAUUAAACAACCAAGGUUUAGAAAGAUCAAAUGACUAGUCCAAGAUAAUAUGGCCAAUAAAUGGCUCUAAACCUCCUAUGUUCUUUAUACUAUUCACUUUUUGUCAUGUUAUUUUUAUCCUGUCACUGCCAUUAUCUUUAAAACUUUGACAAAAAUUUAAUUUUAAAAGUUACAUUGGGAAUUUUCAGAUUUUAGUGCAAAGACAUUGUUGCUGUUCUUGUCAGACCUUUUCAGAUACCUCCAGACUAUAGCCCUUCCACAGGGUGAUAUUCAAACAUUUUCCACCUAAACAUAUAAGUUUGCACACCCUGACCACAGACACUGAAUUCACUUGAUGUCAGAAUGCUAGACUAAAAGUUGAUCUUCUUGACUGACAUUUCUAAUCUCCCUUUUUAAAAAUCCAUCAUAAGGACUGACUUCUGAACAGUUGAAUAAAGCAGUAAUCAAUCCAAGAAACUGCAUCCAUUCUGAUUCAGAGGAAAAAAAAAUCCAACCUAGUGACCAUUUUUCAGCAUACUGUAUUUCAUCACAUUUAUUCUGUGAUUAGUGGAGGACAGAGAAGAGGGACUGGGGAGAAAAACUGCCUUUAUUUUAAGAAAGCUCAUUUUCCUGUAACUAUUCAAAAAGAAUUGAUUAUCAAGUGUUAGAUAACAAUAUUACUAACAUUUAUCAUCAUUCAAAUAUUUAGUAAAAUUUCUCCAUAUAUUUAAAAUUUUACUUAAGAAUUUUCCCAGUUAAAAUAUGACUGCUUAGUUUGAAUAAGGAAGACAUUCCUUUCAAUUCAUGACACAAUAGUACAUUUUUAUUCUUUUCUCAGACAGCAGAGAGACACUGUUACUGCUUUCCCUUGUAAGUCAACAGUCUGUGAUACAUGCUGUACUUUUACUGAUUAGCAAUGCAAUGUUACUGUGAAUAUUUAACUAGAACUUAUUAUAUUGGAAUUUAAAAUUUUCUAACAUUGAAUUUAGUUCUCUUCAUCAAAUAAGCAAGCAUUAUUUUUAUGAAAUGAAAUAAUCAUUCUUAAGCAGUGAUGAUAAUGGAAUUCUGAAUACGAUGUAAAAUCAAACAUUCUAUUUUUUCUGUUUAUCCUUUGACAUUGAGUUGUUUUAAUUUAUUACAUAUUAUUAAGUUGAAAUAAGCUUUAUACCAUGUUCUCUGAUGUUCUUGUCAUAAUAAUUUUGGGUCUUUUGUUAAGUAAAUAUCAGAAAAUAUCUGUGAGUUUUGAUUAUGUGAUAUUUUCAUCUGAUUGAUUUUUUAAAUUUCUCAUUGGAUUUAAAGUGUUUUCUUUGCUAAUGUUAUAUA
rnacentral:lncRNA from 1 species